AGAAUGAACGCUGGCGGCGUGCUUAACACAUGCAAGUCGCACGAGAACUCUUCUGCUUGCAGAAGAUAGUAAAGUGGCGCACGGGUGAGUAACGCGUGGGUAAUCUACCUCUGAAUUGGGGAUAACAUUGUGAAAGCGAUGCUAAUACCGAAUAAUAUCCCGAGAACCUAGGCUUUUGGGAUCAAAGGUGGCCUCUACAUGUAAGCUACUGUUUAGAGAUGAGCCCGCGUACCAUUAGCUUGUUGGUAGGGUAAUGGCCUACCAAGGCAACGAUGGUUAGCUGGUCUGAGAGGAUGAUCAGCCACACUGGAACUGACACACGGUCCAGACUCCUACGGGAGGCAGCAGUGAGGAAUUUUGCGCAAUGGGGGAAACCCUGACGCAGCAACGCCGCGUGAGUGAUGAAGGCUUUCGAGUCGUAAAGCUCUGUCAAGUGAGAAGAACCUACUUUUUGUUAAUACCAUUAAGUACUGACGGUAUCACUGAAGGAAGCACCGGCUAACUCCGUGCCAGCAGCCGCGGUAAUACGGAGGGUGCAAGCGUUAUUCGGAAUUAUUGGGCGUAAAGGGCGCGUAGGCGGUCUUUUAAGUCAGAUGUGAAAGCCCGGGGCUCAACCCCGGAAGUGCAUUUGAAACUAAGGGACUUGAGUAUGGGAGAGGGAAGUGGAAUUCCUGGUGUAGAGGUGAAAUUCGUAGAUAUCAGGAGGAACACCGGUGGCGAAGGCGACUUCCUGGACCAAUACUGACGCUGAGGCGCGAAGGCGUGGGGAGCAAACAGGAUUAGAUACCCUGGUAGUCCACGCAGUAAACGGUGAACACUA
rnacentral:rRNA from 1 species